rnacentral:rRNA from 1 species
CCUACGGGGGGCAGCAGUGGGGAAUAUUGGACAAUGGGCGAAAGCCUGAUCCAGCCAUGCCGCGUGUGUGAAGAAGGCCUUCGGGUUGUAAAGCACUUUCAGUGGGGAAGAAAGCCUUGGGGCUAAUACCCUCGAGGAAGGACAUCACCCACAGAAGAAGCACCGGCUAACUCCGUGCCAGCAGCCGCGGUAAUACGGAGGGUGCGAGCGUUAAUCGGAAUUACUGGGCGUGAAGCGCGCGUAGGCGGUCUGAUAAGCCGGUUGUGAAAGCCCCGGGCUCAACCUGGGAACGGCAUCCGGAACUGUCAGGCUAGAGUGCAGGAGAGGAAGGUAGAAUUCCCGGUGUAGCGGUGAAAUGCGUAGAGAUCGGGAGGAAUACCAGUGGCGAAGGCGGCCUUCUGGACUGACACUGACGCUGAGGUGCGAAAGCGUGGGUAGCAAACAGGAUUAGAUACCCCUGUAGUC